rnacentral:lncRNA from 1 species
AUUUACUCAUAUUUAUUUGGACAUACAUACAGAAUAAAACGGCCUAGCAACCGCCUAGCAACCAGGUUAAACUAUGAGGUUUAUUGGCAAAAGGCUCAUUAAAAAACAAAUACUCCUCCUUUAUCUCCAUCUCUCUCUCUCUCUCUGAAAAUAUCCAUGUCAACUGGCACACUAUUCCCUACAUAGUGCACAACUUUAGACCAGAGCCUUAUGGGAAAGUCCUAUGGGUCCUGGUCCAAAGUAGUGCACUACAUAAGGAAUAGGACUCUAGUUCACUAUGUAGUGCCCUGGUCCAAAGUAGUGCACUACAUAAGGAAUAGGACUCUAGUUCACUAUGUAGGGUCCUGGUCCAAAGUAGUGCACUACAUAAGGAAUAGGGCUCUAGUUCACUAUGUAGGGUCCUGGUCCAAAGUAGUGCACUACAUAAGGAAUAGGGCUCUAGUUCACUUUGUAGUGCCCUGGUCCAAAGUAGUGCACUACAUAAGAAAUAGGGCUCUAGUUCACUAUGUAGUGCCCUGGUCCAAAGUAGUGCACUACAUAAGGAAUAGGACUCUAGUUCACUAUGUAGGGUCCUGGUCCAAAGUAGUGCACUACAUAAGGAAUAGGGCUCUAGUUCGCUGUGUAGGGUCCUGGUCCAAUGUAGUGCACUACAUAAGGAAUAGGGCUCUAGUUCACUUUGUAGUGCCCUGGUCCAAUGUAGUGCACUACAUAAGGAAUAGGGCUCUAGUUCACUAUGUAGGGUCCUGGUCCAAAGUAGUGCACUACAUAAGGAAUAGGGCACUAGUUCACUAUGUAGGGUCCUGGUCCAAAGUAGUGCACUACAUAAGGAAUAGGGCACUAGUUCACUAUGUAGGGUCCUGGUCCAAAGUAGUGCACUACAUAAGGAAUAUAUUUGGACAUACAUAUAUCAGAAAUGGCCUAGCAACCGCCUAGCAACCAGGCUAAACUAUGAGGUUGAUAGGCAACCGAUGGACUCCAGUUCCCUGGUUACAAGCACUACAGGUAGGGAAUAUGGUGCCCACACUUUGGGAAGCAGGCAGUACAUCUGUAGUGAGUCCAACCCAGUCACAACAGAGAACACAGUCAAAACACAUAACAACAUUAAAACAGGGUCGGCCUGAAUUCCAACUGAAGGCAGGUCAAUUCAUGUCGC